GGAAAAGGAAUAGGGUAAAAGCAUACGAUUUGAUCACUCCCUCCGUUCAUCUUUACAGGGCGAAUACAUUUUGUUAAGAAAAGCUUUUGAUCAACAAUUAUUCUAAUGUGAUCACACAAAUUGAUACUAUUAUAUUUGUAUUUAAGAAAAUACUUACUUAUGGUUAAAUUUUGUACUAUAUCAAUAGAGUAAUUGUCAGUACGUUAUAUUAAGGCCUUGCACUAAAGAAACAAAACAUGCCUAUAUUAAGGCCUUGCA
rnacentral:lncRNA from 1 species